rnacentral:rRNA from 1 species
GAUGAACGCUGGCGGCGUGCCUAAUACAUGCAAGUAGAACGCACAGUUGAUACCGUAGCUUGCUACACCAUAGACGGUGAGUUGCGAACGGGUGAGUAACGCGUAGGUAACCUGCCUGGUAUCGGUGGGGAACUAUUUGAAACGUUAGGUAAUACCUCAUAAUAUGAAUUGUUCCAUGAUAAUAAAUGGUAAUGUGCAAUUUCACCACUAGCAGAUGGACCUGCUUUGUAUUAGCUAGUAGGUGAGGUAACGGCUCACCUAGGCGAAGAUACAUAGCCGACCUGAGAGGGUGAUGCGCCACACUGGGAAUGGGACACGGGCCAGACUCCUAAGGGAGGCAGCCGUAGGGAAUCUUUGGCAAUGGACGAAAGUCUGACCGAGCAACGCCGCGUGAGUGAAGAAGGUUUUCGGAUCGUAAAGCUCUGUUGUAAGAGAAGAACGGGUGUGAGAGUGGAAAGUUCACACUGUGACGGUAUCUUACCAGAAAGGGACGGCUAACUACGUG